rnacentral:rRNA from 1 species
GACAGAGGCCUCGAGCGUUAGGCGGAAUCACUGGGCUUAAAGCGUGUGUAGGCGGAUGCCUAAGUACCUUGUGAAAUCCCACGGCUCAACCGUGGAACGGCUGGGUAUACUGGGCGUCUUGAGCCAGCUAGGGGCGACCGGAACAAACGGUGGAGCGGUGAAAUGCGUAGAUAUCGUUUGGAACGCCUGUGGUGAAAACGGGUCGCUGGGGCUGUGCUGACGCUGAGACACGAAAGCGUGGGGAGCAAACAGG